GUACUUACCUGGCAGGGGGCACGCCUUGAUCACAAAGGUAGUUUUCCCCAGGCGGGGCUCACCUAUUGCCCUGUGGAUGUGCUGACCCCUGGAGUUUCCCCAAAUGUGGGGAACUUGGCUGCCUGAUUUGCGGUACUGGGGGCCUGUGUUCAUUCUCUCCCCUA